CAGAAAGUGAAACUCUGGAUAAGGGGGUGACUACCUUAUUCACUAUCAUUCCUGGCAAUUAAAGAAUGUUAACUCCAACUGAACACCAGAUGAAUUGGCCCUCAAUUAAACACAUCUGUCCAGAAAUAUAAAAUCACCCAAAACUAAAAAUUUACUAAAGUGAAGCAUGCUCCUUAGAUGCCAUAUGAUGGUACCAUAAACUUAUUAAGAUUUUAAAUCAGCACCUCAUAUGUAUAUUUAUAAAUAGCUCGCUUCUGUUAUCUUUUAAGUGAGAUCCUGUCUCUACAAAAAACUGUUUUAAAAGUUAGCCAGGCAGGGUGGCAUGUACCUGGAGUCCCAGCUACUCAGGAGGCUGAGGGAGGAGGAUCCCUUGUGCCCAGGAGAUCAAGGCAUAGCCAACAUGCUAAUGAACUCUUUUCUCAGUUAAUUCCACUAAUUAGUUAUCUCUUCUUGUUCUGCCAGAAUCCCAACCCUUUUACAAUCUACUCAUCAAAUCCAUCAGGCCACAUAUUAUGCCUUCCUAGAGGAACACUUUUCGUGAUGACACUUUGUAAACAAGGCAAUCUGAUGCUGCCUGUUCUAUCUUCCCAGAUCUAGUUGAUAGUUCAAAACAUCAACAUUAACCACAAGUAAAAUAUGCUUAAAAAAUAAUCAGGAGACGAUCUCCUGCUCUAUCUGGAAAUUUCUCUAUUCAGCUAGUUCUGCGUUGACAGGUCAACAGAGAAUGGCACUAGUUAUUGCUACAAUCCUAAAAGGCAUUUCCCUACAGCUAAACCAUCAACCCUUUCCUAAAAUCCAUAUAAUCCAAAAUUUUUCUAGCAGAAUUUACUCUCCCUGCCCCUACCCCAGCAGCAUCUUCUGAUCAUUUUUCACCAUAAACUGAGGUUUCCUCAUAGUGAUGCCAAGUCAGGCAAACACAUUCCUUAAGCGUUCCACCUAACUCCCUUCUUCCUGGAAGUUACAUGUAAUAGCUGCCUUUAUUUACUUAUUUUUAAAACUCUUCAAGCACCAGGUACAGUGGUAAGUGCUUUUAAAGAACAUGUAUCUACUUCCAUCCUUAACACUGUAUGAGAUUGGGACUCACAUUCCCAUUUUACAGAGGAGAAAUGCAAAGGCUUAGUAACCUGCCCAAGGUCAUACAGGGCAGAGAUUGGAAUCCAAGUCUGACCUCUGUGUCCUCCGCUCUUAACCUUCAUGCUGUCUUUCCUUCUGAUCUCUUCCUGUCCUAACUGGUGCCCUGUGGUCUUAUAAAAGACUAUGCUUGGGGCAGGCGGGGGAGGGGUGGGAGGGUCAGUUUCUCCAGAGACCGCCUUUCCUUUAAAGGAUAAGACUUUGAAAAGAAGGAGUACCCAUUACAUCUUUCCUCCAUGCUCCCCCUUCUCACCUGGUACCAUUUCCCAAAGGCCCCAAUCAUAUCCCCUUCUCUACGGACAAUUUAAACUUCUCCUUUGUCCGCAGAGCAGGCACUAUCCAAUACUGAAGAACCACACCAUCUACCCUCAAGGCUAGGAGAGGGCAGAAGUGGAAGAAAGAACACAGACAGCACCCCUUCCCCAGGUCUUCAGUUGAGAAAGAAGCUGUGGCUGAAAGUCUGGGGGGCUGGGGGCAAAGGUGACAAGGAUGUGCCCUUGUGGGUACGCGAGGUGGGGGGGGGGGAGAUGGGGAAGAGGCAUGGGACGCUCAGGGGAUUAGCAGGAGAUUGAAUGGGGGUGGACCUCUGUAAGGGGAAGGGGGGUGCCACCGGCAGGCAGAGAGAUCAGGCCACUGAAGAGGUGAACGUGAGUUAGGGAGGAGGACCUGGAGGUGGAUGUAAUAGGGGAAGUAGAGGAAGAAAGGGGAGGGAGGGGGCUCACGGGAGCAGGAAACGAUGGAGUCAUGGGGAGUGGGGGAGGAUGGAUGGGAGCUAGAAGGUGGGGCGGCCUGGGACCCGGGCACAUGGGCUCGGCGAAGAGCGGGCGCGCCGCGGGGGACUGGGGUGCGGGGAAUGCCGGGAAUGGGGGUUCGAGGAGA
rnacentral:lncRNA from 1 species